CCUUCGGGUGGCAGCAGUGAGGAAUAUUGGUCAAUGGAGGAGACUCUGAUGCAGCCACGUAGCGUGAAGGAUGACUGCCCUAUGGGUUGUAAACUUCUUUUAUAAGGGAAUAAAACGCGGCACGUGUCCCUUUUUGCAUGUACUUUAUGAAUAAGGAACGGCUAACUCCGUGCCAGCAGCCGCGGUAAUACGGUGGAUCCGACCGUUAUCCGGAUUUAUUGGGUGUAAAGGGCGAGUAGAUGGGUUGUUAAGUCAGGUGUGAAAGGUUGCGGCGCAACCGGAGAAUUGCAAUUGAUACUGGCAGUCUUGAGUACAGUUGAGGUAGGCGGAAUUCGUGGUGUAGCGGUGAAAUGCUUAGAUAUCACGAGGAACCCCGAUUGCGAAGGCAGCUUACUAAACUGUGACUGACAUUGAUGCUCGAAAGUGUGGGGAGCAAACAGGAUUAGAUACCCGAGUAGUC
rnacentral:rRNA from 1 species